UACGUAGGGGGCAAGCGUUGUCCGGAAUUAUUGGGCGUAAAGAGCGCGUAGGCGGUCCGAUAAGUCGGCUGUGAAAGUCAGGGGCUCAACCCUUGGAAGCCGGCCGAUACUGUCGGACUAGAGUCCGGAAGAGGAGAAUGGAAUUCCCGGUGUAGCGGUGAAAUGCGCAGAUAUCGGGAAGAACACCCGUGGCGAAGGCGGUUCUCUGGGACGGUACUGACGCUGAGACGCGAAAGCGUGGGGAGCGAACAGG
rnacentral:rRNA from 1 species